ensembl:lncRNA
AAUUCAAUUAAAAAUGAUGUCAUAAAUGCUACAUGUGUGACGACAGGUAGUCAAAAUGAGAUGGAGCUUGAAAGAAUCUCUAGUAGUGAUUUACAAGUACCUUAUGGUACAAUGUCGAAUGGUAAAAUGUCGAGUGGUACAAUGUCGAGUGGUACAAUGUCGAGUGGUACAAUGUCGAGUGGUACAAUGUCGAGUGGUACAAUGUCGAGCGGUACAAUGUCUUUUGAUAAAACGUCCUGUGGUGAUGAAAUAUCCAACGAUUGUGUCACUCCCGACGAUAUAGUCACAAACAGUAUCCAACGUCAAAUAGCCGACUUUUUAGUAAAUCACAAAUGGGAUAACAAACAGAAUACUAUAAAUAUGGAUAAAAAUCUUCAACAAUAUCGAUUCAUAUUUUUAUAUUACCUAUUAUAUGUAUAUCCGAAAUUUUUACAUAUUAUGAAAAUUAUUAAAGUUAAAAAUUGUAUGGAAUAUAUGAAGUUUUCUAUACCGGAUAAUGAAGACCAACAUGUAUGUGAUACACAAAAAGAUUAUACAACUCAAAAGAAAACUUUAAAAAGUAUUAAAAAUAAUACAAUUGUUGAAUCUGUGGAUGAAGAUAAAGAAAAAGUAGAUAUUAAAAAAUUAUUCUUACCUAGUUUUAUUAAAAAAAGAACUAAUAAAAAAGAUAUUUUCGUUUUAAAUAAUUUUCUUUUAACAAAUUUAUUAUUAGUUAAUUUUUCUGAAAAAUUACAUUAUGAAUUAUUUAUUAAUGUACUUAACGAAAAUGAUAGUAUGGAUACAAUAAUAAAUGAAAUUCACCCAAUUUGUUUCAAAACAUUAUUAUAUUAUAAAAAAUGUAAUAAUGAUAAUAAUUUUAUAAAAUAUAACUUUACACAAGCACAGCUAGCAACUCUUUUUUUUAUUCUAAAUUCCUACCUUUCUUUUGUAACAACGCCAAACAAUAUAUAUUUUAAUGAACAAAAUAUAUGGAAAUUUUUAAUAUACAAAAAUAGUACAAAAGAAAAAAAUAAAGCAGAACAAUUAAUUUCAAAUGGAGGAUAUUAUUUUCCAUGGAAAUUUUUAAAUAAUUUCUUGCAAACAUUUUUACAUAAAAAAGAAAAUAAAUAUAUAUAUUCAGCACAAAUGGUUGUUAAACUUAUGAUAUAUAUUUUAUUAAUACAAUUAACUAUAACAGAUAAUAAAUUACCAGUACAAUUAGCAUUAGUAAAUAGAAACAUGCGAGCAAUACUACAACCUCUGAAUUUUUCAAUUAUAGAUUCGAGGUUUAUUACAUUCAAUGGACAAUCUAUCGGUUAGGCGUAAAAAAAGGGUUCCUAGCAAGCGAGUGAUCAACCCCAGGAGGGGUACUAUAUGUCAUUUAGUAUAAAUUUAUGUGUGUCUGUGUGUUUGGGGAAAAUUUUCUUUUUAACACUUACUUAUUCUUGUUUAUACCUAUUUAUUGUGUUUUUACACCAGCUUAUUCCUUUUAAUUCGGCUUUUUUAUUUCUUUUAUUUUGUUUAUUUUGUUUAUUUUGUUUAUUUUUCUUAUUUUGUUUAUUUUGUUUAUUUUGUUUAUUUGUUUAGCUUUUAUCUACCCGUUGGUCUUUAAAUUUACUUGCGCUGGCGCUUGCAUUUGUGUUUGUGUUUGUGUUUGUGUUUGCGUUUGCGCUUUCACUUUUACAUUCGAUUUUUUUUU